GACGAACGCUGGCGGCGUGCUUAACACAUGCAAGUCGAACGGAAAGGCCUGUGCUUGCACGGGUACUCGAGUGGCGAACGGGUGAGUAACACGUGGGUGAUCUGCCCUUCACUUCGGGAUAAGCCUGGGAAACUGGGUCUAAUACUGGAUAGGACCAUCGUUUAGUGUCGGUGGUGGAAAGUUUUUUCGGUGGAGGAUGAGCUCGCGGCCUAUCAGCUUGUUGGUGGGGUAAUGGCCUACCAAGGCGACGACGGGUAGCCGGCCUGAGAGGGUGGACGGCCACAUUGGGACUGAGACACGGCCCAGACUCCUACGGGAGGCAGCAGUGGGGAAUCUUGCACAAUGGGCGGAAGCCUGAUGCAGCGACGCCGCGUGAGGGAUGACGGCCUUCGGGUUGUAAACCUCUUUCGCUAGGGAAGAAGCCGCUUUGUGGUGGUGACGGUACCUGGAUAAGAAGCACCGGCUAACUACGCGCCAGCAGCCGCGGUAAUACGUAGGGUGCGAGCGUUGUCCGGAAUUACUGGGCGUAAAGAGCUCGUAGGUGGUUUGUCGCGUCGUCUGUGAAAUCCCGGGGCUUAACUUCGGGCGUGCAGGCGAUACGGGCAAGCUGGAGUGCUGUAGGGGAGACUGGAAUUCCUGGUGUAGCGGUGGAAUGCGCAGAUAUUAGGAAGAACACCGAUGGCGAAGGCAGGUCUCUGGGCAGUAACUGACACUGAGGAGCGAAAGCAUGGGUAGCGAACAGG
rnacentral:rRNA from 1 species